GACGAACGCUGGCGGCGUGCUUAACACAUGCAAGUCGAGCGGUAAGGCCCUUUCGGGGGUACACGAGCGGCGAACGGGUGAGUAACACGUGGGUGACCUGCCCUUAGCUCUGGGAUAAGCCUGGGAAACUGGGUCUAAUACCGGAUAUGACUCCAUGACGCAUGUUGUGGGGUGGAAAGCCUUGUGCGGCUAGGGAUGGGCCUGCGGCCUAUCAGCUUGUUGGUGGGGUGAUGGCCUACCAAGGCGACGACGGGUAGCCGGCCUGAGAGGGCGACCGGCCACACUGGGACUGAGACACGGCCCAGACUCCUACGGGAGGCAGCAGUGGGGAAUCUUGCGCAAUGGGCGAAAGCCUGACGCAGCGACGCCGCGUGGGGAUGACGGCCUCGGUGUAA
rnacentral:rRNA from 1 species